UACAGAGGGUGCGAGCGUUGUUCGGAAUUAUUGGGCGUAAAGCGCGUGUAGGCGGCCCGGUAAGUCCGCUGUGAAAGUCGGGGGCUCAACCCUCGAAUGCCGGUGGAAACUAUCUGGCUAGAGUCCGGAAGAGGAGAGUGGAAUUCCUGGUGUAGCGGUGAAAUGCGCAGAUAUCAGGAGGAACACCCGUGGCGAAGGCGGCUCUCUGGGACGGUACUGACGCUGAGACGCGAAAGCGUGGGGAGCAAACAGG
rnacentral:rRNA from 1 species